CUUGACCGAGCCGAGCCAGAGCGGGCGUUCGGCGGUGUGCGCCCGGCCGUAGGCGGCGAUCAGGGCCUGGGCCUC
rfam:Streptomyces rubellomurinus strain ATCC 31215 contig-149, whole genome shotgun sequence.